UUGAAAUAAUCCUGAUAGGUUGUUGCUGGUUCUCUCGGGAGCAUGUGCACACUUGUCAUCUUUAUAUCUCCACCUGUGCACCUUUUGUAAAUCUGAAUAUCUUUCUGAAUGUCUCGCAUAUUCAGGUUUGAGGAUUGAUCUUUUUCUUUCCUUACAUUUUCAGGUUUAUGUUUUUCAUAUACCCCAAGUAUGUUAUAGAAUGUUAUAAACGGGCCCUUUGUGCCCAUAAAUUUAUA
rnacentral:misc_RNA from 1 species